AGAGUGCGUAAUAGCUCACUAGUCGAGAGGUCCUGCGCCGAAAAUGUCCGGGGCUAAAACACAACACCGAAGCUUAGGAAUUCUAAUGAAUUGGUAGAGGAGCAUUGAAGACGGAACGAAGCCAUACCGAAAGGAAUGGUGGACUGUCUUGAAGAGAGAAUGCCGGAAUGAGUAGCGAGAUUGAAGUGAGAAUCUUCAAGGCCGAAUAUCUAAGGUUUCCAGGGUAAAGCUGAUCUGCCCUGGGUAAGUCGGGGCCUAAGGCAAGGUCGAAAGACGUAGUCGAUGGAUAACAGGUUGAAAUUCCUGUACUGCAUCAAAUCAGAAAUGUGGGGACACAUGAGGGAAGCAUGAGCCGGAAAAGGAAAGUCCGGUACAAGCGCAGCAGAGGACAGAUAGGCAAAACCGUCUGUCAACUCGAGGGCGUGAUGUGGAGCGAACCAAAGUAGCGAAGCAUGUGGAGCUUGUGUCGAGAAAAGCCGCUAUUGUGUUUGAUGUACCCGUACCGUAAACCGACACAGGUGGAUGAGGAGAGAAUCCUAAGGCCGGCGGGAGAAGCAUUGUUAAGGAACUCGGCAAAAUGACCCCGUAACUUCGGGAGAAGGGGUGCUCCAGAGAUGGAGCCGCAGAGAACUGGCCCAAGCAACUGUUUAGCAAAAACACAGGUCUAUGCAAAACCGAAAGGUGAGGUAUAUGGGCUGACGCCUGCCCGGUGCUGGAAGGUUAAGAGGAGAUGUUAGCCGCAAGGUGAAGCAUUGAAUUUAAGCCCCAGUAAACGGCGGCCGUAACUAUAACGGUCCUAAGGUAGCGAAAUUCCUUGUCGGGUAAGUUCCGACCCGCACGAAAGGCGUAAUGAUUUGGGCACUGUCUCGACAAUGCACCCGGUGAAAUUGAAAUACCAGUGAAGAUGCUGGUUACCUGCGCCAGGACGGAAAGACCCCAUGGAGCUUUACUCUAGCUUGAUACUGGGGUUCGGUAUUGCAUGUACAGGAUAGGUGGGAGACGAAGAGGCAGUGACGCCAGUUGCUGCGGAGUCGAUGUUGGGAUACCACCCCUGCAGUACUGGGCUUCUAACCUGCAGCCGUGACCCGGCUGGGGGACAAUGUCUGGUGGGGAGUUUGACUGGGGCGGUCGCCUCCGAAAGAGUAUCGGAGGCGCUCAAAGGUUCCCUCAGAAUGGUUGGAAACCAUUCGAAGAGCGCAAAGGCAGAAGGGAGCUUGACUGCGACACCGACGGGUGGAGCAGGUACGAAAG
rnacentral:rRNA from 1 species